rnacentral:rRNA from 1 species
AAUUCCAGCUCCAAUAGCGUAUAUUAAAGUUGUUGCAGUUAAAAARCUCGUAGUUGAACCUUGGGCCUGGUUGKCCGGUCCGCCUCACCGCGUGUACUGGUCCGGCCGGGCCUUUCCUUCUGGGGAACCUCAUGCCCUUCACUGGGCGUGUUGGGGAACCAGGACUUUUACUCUGAAAAAAUUAGAGUGUUCAAAGCAGGCCCUUGCUCGAAUACAUUAGCAUGGAAUAAUAGAAUAGGACGUGUGGUUCUAUUUUGUUGGUUUCUAGGACCGCCGUAAUGAUUAAUAGGGAUAGUCGGGGGCAUCAGUAUUCAAUCGUCAGAGGUGAAAUUCUUGGAUUGAUUGAAGACUAACUACUGCGAAGCAUUUGCCAAGGAUGUUUUCAUUAAUCAGUGAACGAAAGUUAGGGGAUCGAAGACGAUCAGAUACCGUCGUAGUCUUAACCAUAAACUAUGCCGACUAGGGAUCGGACGGUGUUAGUAUUUUGACCCGUUCGCUUCUUACGAGAAUCAAGUUUUUGGGUCUGGGGGAGUAUGUCGCAGGCUGAAACUUAAGAAUUGACAGAAGGCACCACCAGGCGUGAGCUGCGGCUUAAUUGACUCAACACGGGGAAACUCACCAGGUCCAGACACAAUAAGGAUUGACAGAUUGAGAGCUCUUUCUUGAUUUUGUGGGUGGUGGUGCAUGGCCGUUCUUAGUUGGUGGAGUGAUUUGUCUGCUUAAUUGCGAUAACGAACGAGGCCUUAACCUGCUAAAUAGCCAGGCCCGCUUUGGCGGGUCGCCGGCUUCUUAGAGGGACUAUCGGCUCAAGCCGAUGGAAGUUUGAGGCAAUAACAGGUCUGUGAUGCCCCUAGAUGUUCUGGGCCGCACGCGCGCUACACUGACAGAGCCAACGAGUUCAUUUCCUUAGCCGAAAGGUUUGGGUAAUCUUGUUAAACUCUGUCGUGCUGGGGAUAGAGCAUUGCAAUUAUUGCUCUUCAACGAGGAAURCCUAGUAAGCGCAUGUCAUCAGCAUGCGWUGAUUACGUCCCUGCCCUUUGCACUCACCGCCCGUCAAUCA